AGCGGCGGACGGGUGAGUAACGCGUGGGUAACCUGCCUUACACUCUUGGCCAGCCUUCUGAAAGGAAGAUUAAUCCAGGAUGGGAUCAUGAGUUCACAUGUCCGCAUGAUUAAAGGUAUUUUCCGGUAGACGAUGGGGAUGCGUUCCAUUAGAUAGUAGGCGGGGUAACGGCCCACCUAGUCAACGAUGGAUAGGGGUUCUGAGAGGAAGGUCCCCCACAUUGGAACUGAGACACGGUCCAA
rnacentral:rRNA from 1 species